rnacentral:rRNA from 1 species
GCCCCAGACUCCUACGGGAGGCAGCAGUGGGGAAUAUUGCACAAUGGGGGAAACCCUGAUGCAGCGACGCCGCGUGAGUGAAGAAGUAUUUCGGUAUGUAAAGCUCUAUCAGCAGGGAAGAUAAUGACGGUACCUGACUAAGAAGCCCCGGCUAACUACGUGCCAGCAGCCGCGGUAAUACGUAGGGGGCAAGCGUUAUCCGGAUUUACUGGGUGUAAAGGGAGCGUAGGUGGCAGGGCAAGUCAGAUGUGAAAGCCCGGGGCUCAACCCCGGUACUGCAUUGGAAACUACCGGACUGGAGUGUCGGAGGGGUAAGUGGAAUUCCUAGUGUAGCGGUGAAAUGCGUAGAUAUUAGGAGGAACACCAGUGGCGAAGGCGGCUUACUGGACGAUCACUGACGCUGAGGCUCGAAAGCGUGGGGAGCAAACAGGAUUAGAUACCCAGUAGC